rnacentral:sRNA from 1 species
AGUCAUUAGUUGAUACAUGUACAUAUAUAUAUACGGUUUCCCAUGUAUGUUUUGUUUUAUUUACUGAUUUUAUAAUUUCAUAUAUGCUCCAUAUUAUAUAUUAGAUCACAGAAUGUUUAAACGCCAGUCUCCCUGUAUGCACCUUUCACCUACAUUAUGAAUUAAUAAUCUCAUAGAACUUACUGGUUUCUUGCUAGACACAGCUAUCUCUAUCUGUUGCUGUACAACACACCUAUUUUAGGACUCUUUGUUCACACGGUGAACCAAGAAAAUUUUACUAAACCAAGAAAAUUUUACUAAACCAUUAUCAGAUUAUUUGAAAUAAGUAGUAUGUUCAUAAUUUACAUAUGUUUAUAAGUAUUUUGUUGAGCAAAUCAAAAUGUAUGGACCAUAUUUCAUGUAUAGACAUUGCCGAUUCAUUGUGACAUACUACCGGUAUAUAUACAGACUGUGACAGUGUUAGAUAGGAGUGAUAUUUCUGUCGUCAUAGAUAUUUAUAGACUGGAUUUUAUUGUGUGCAAUGUGUUCUAACAGUCAAUACUGUGUGCCAAACCUACCUGCUUUUAUAUAACUUACAUGUGAUUUUAUUUGCUCUCAGUGAUUUAAUAAAUUGUAUUAUAUGU